AUUGAACGCUGGCGGCAUGCUUUACACAUGCAAGUCGAACGGCAGCGCGGGCUUCGGCCUGGCGGCGAGUGGCGAACGGGUGAGUAAUGCAUCGGAACGUGCCCAGUAGUGGGGGAUAGCCCGGCGAAAGCCGGAUUAAUACCGCAUACGACCUGAGGGUGAAAGCGGGGGACCGAAAGGCCUCGCGCUAUUGGAGCGGCCGAUGUCGGAUUAGCUAGUUGGUGGGGUAAAGGCUUACCAAGGCGACGAUCCGUAGCUGGUCUGAGAGGACGACCAGCCACACUGGGACUGAGACACGGCACAGACUCCUACGGGAGGCAGCAGUGGGGAAUUUUGGACAAUGGGGGCAACCCUGAUCCAGCCAUGCCGCGUGCGGGAAGAAGGCCUUCGGGUUGUAAAACGCUUUUGUUCGGGAAGAAAUCCUCUGGGCUAAUACCCCGGGGGGAUGACGGUACCGGAAGAAUAAGCACCGGCUAACUACGUG
rnacentral:rRNA from 1 species